GUUCAGAUAUGUACACAGACAGUAGUCAGUUAGUCAUACAGUCGCGUAUUCGAAGGAGUAGUGAUGCUUUCAUUAAAUAAAAAUCAGGCGCAGUUUUUGGUUCUUUAUUUUAUUUUCUUCAUCAUUUUUAUCUCAUCAAAGGCGCAAGCCGAAGAGAGAAAUAUUAAUAAGCUGCUGAAUAACCAGGUCGUUGUCAGUCGCCAGAUAAUGUGCAUUCUUGAGAAGAGCGAAUGCGACCAAUUGGGCCAGCAACUUAAAGGUAGCGCAAAUACAUCCAAAAUUUGUCAACUGCGAUGCCAAAGUAAGAAUCAUAAAUCUUAUUCAAUAUAUUUCAGCUGCCCUGCCAGAAGUUAUAACCAGAAAGUGCAGGAACUGUUCGCCCCAACAGGCUCAAAAGGCGCAAAAGCUGACAACAUUUUUACAAACAAGAUACCCCGAUGUCUGGGCGAUGCUUAUAAGAAAAUACCAAAGUGUCUAAAUAUACAUACUACCACAGGCUAUUUAUACCCAUGAAUGAAUUCAAAAAUAAAAUCGUAGUAUCGUAAAAUUGCCAAA
rnacentral:lncRNA from 1 species